UUUUGCUCUUCCAUUUCAUCUGUAACGAAUGAGGGUCCUUUCACCUUUCUCACUUUCUUCUUCCGUUACCUUUUUCGCCCCUUUCUUCUUCUCUGAAAAAACACCUUUAAACCCCACAGCCACAGGGUGGGUUCUCUUUCAUUACCGCUCCCAACUAGAACGCGUAGGUAGCAAUUGAAACGAAGUCUGUCUUCUUCAUACUCUCAUCACUGCUCAGCAAAUGUUUUUCGUAAUUUUGUUGCUUCCGGCGAGUGCGAUUUUGCUCUUCUUUGGUUUUCUCUUUCUUUCGUUUGCUACAUCGUCCCUUUUCUGAUCAUGUUUGUUGCUUGCUUUCACAUUCGCCCCUUGAUUCCUUCCGUUCAGAUUAACAACAAAGACAUUUCAUUCCACCCCCUUCCCAGAUAGAGAAUUAACAUGGUUGUCAAAGGCGUCAUCAUGGUGUUUGAGAACCUCCACGAAGAUUGCAUCGCAGAGGAAUAGAUAUCGAGGGAGACGAGGAUAACCAUCGUCAUCAAUUAUUGGUGGCCAGGCCAGUGUAUGUCUUAAUGCAUGUAUGUUGAUAUCGAUGAUGAUGAAUUGAGGGUCGCGACACUUCUGGAUAAUUUGAUUCAAUUUUUAUAUGUCUUCUGCAAUACUUUAUCAUUCAGAGUUGUUAUAUAACAUCGGUACGUCAGUGUCCCUUUCUCUCACGCUUUACUGAGGCGUUUCUGCGAACUAUUAUUGCUCAGAAUCUGCCGCGAUCCCCUUCUGGAUUUUCACACGUUCUACAGAUAAUUUUUAUCGUAUGAUCCAAUUUGUCUCAAUCAAAUAUGAACCUGAGCGCAUCAUUGAAAAGGUUGUUGGAUGUUGCCUGGAACAUGCAACCACAGUGGCCAAAACCUUCUAUAUGUCAGAUUGCUUAGUUGUUGAGAUAAAGGAAUCAGAGUCUGUACCUGAUGGUACCGUAAUCUUUUUGUAUGCUGAUACAUCCCCUCCAAUUUGAGUGUCAUUUGUAGUGCUAUGCAAUGGGGGCUUGAUCGGGCCAACAGGAAGCAGCAGGGUAUGUUGAUGGUGGUAAAGAUCAAGUUAAUGACAAUGGUGGGGUUGGUUCAGAUGAUGAACCUGAUUGGAUGAGAGAUUUCGUUGUUGAAAAAGAUCCGCAUUUGACGGAAAAGAUAGGUAAUAAGAAGGAAAAGUUUGGGAAACCUGAUAGUAAACACAAAAUUAAGAAUGGAAGUCGUAAGGGUUGUAAGGACUGGGCAUUGUAAAAAAAUAGCUCUUGAGUGGAAAAAAAGCUUCCAAUAAAUAUGAUAUCAGAGAUGACACUUAAAUAAUGCUAAUAUUUAAGUCUUUAGUGAUGACACUUUGAAAGGGUAGAUUUUGGUAGAGUAUUUGGAACUAUGAUAUCAGAGAUGAGCUCAUGUCCCCUGCAAAAUUUUAUGCUUAUCCAGGUCUUUUGCUGAUGGGUUUCCAAAUUUAUUUACAAAUAAUGCAGAAGAGUUGUGUGGUCAACAUGCUCCAUUUUUUGGCAUCACUCAGCUCCCCAGCCAAGGCUUUGAACAAUUUUCUGUCAUAUAAGCACUCCCUCGCCUAUUUGUUGCUUCCUUCACAUUGGUUUUGCCUUUCUUCCCAACUAGAUCAUUUGGGCCAUCGGAAGAAGGAGAUGUGACAUAUGCCUUCAGCUUUGCAAGGAUGCUGUCAAAUAUUCUCAACAUCAUUUAUAUGACAGCUAGAUGACUUUAUAUGCACUAGAGAGAAUAUGAGAAAUAUUGAUGUCAAAUAAUUAAGAGAAAAUAAAACUAUCAUUAAUGAGCCUUUCAAGGUUUACUCAUUAUCCAUAAUAAUCAUAUUCAGUUUCUAAAACCUCUUCAUUUUCUUAGUUUCAAAACUAACUGCAACAUGAUUGCAUUUGAACUGUUAUUGUACUUACAAAUUCCUACUUCA